UGAGUAACACGUGAGUGACCGGCCUUUUAGACUGGAACAACUUACCGAAAGGUGAGCUAAUGCCGGAUGAGUUAUAUAAGUGCAUGUUUAUAUAGGAAAAGUUGGGGAGACCUGACGCUGAAAGAUGGACUCGCGUCCCAUUAGCUAGUUGGUAGGGUAAUGGCCUACCAAGGCGACGAUGGGUAGCCGGCCUGAGAGGGUGGCCGGCCACACUGGGACUGAGACACGGCCCAGACUCCUACGGGAGGCAGCAG
rnacentral:rRNA from 1 species